rnacentral:rRNA from 1 species
GGUUGAUCCUGCCAGUAGUCAUAUGCUUGUCUCAAAGAUUAAGCCAUGCAUGUCUAAGUAUAAGCUGUGUUAUACUGUGAAACUGCGAAUGGCUCAUUAAAUCAGUUAUAGUUUAUUUGAUGGUACCUACUACUCGGAUACCCGUAGUAAUUCUAGAGCUAAUACGUGCACACAUCCCGACUGGGGGUUUCCCCCCCCGGGAGGGACGUAUAUAUUAGAUUGCAAGACCGACCUGGCGGAGGACUCAACCCCCCCGCCAGCCUCGCGGUGAAUCAUGAUAUCCCGACGAAUC